AUUUGAAAUCUGGCUCUUUCAGGGUCCGAGUUGUAAUUUGCAGAGGGCGCUUUGGCGUUGGCAGCGGUCCAAGUUCUUUGGAACAGGACGUCACAGAGGGUGAGAAUCCCGUACGUGGUCGCUAGCCUUCGCCGUGUAAAGCCCCUUCGACGAGUCGAGUUGUUUGGGAAUGCAGCUCUAAAUGGGAGGUAAAUUUCUUCUAAAGCUAAAUACUGGCCAGAGACCGAUAGCGCACAAGUAGAGUGAUCGAAAGAUGAAAAGCACUUUGGAAAGAGAGUCAAAUAGCACGUGAAAUUGUUGAAAGGGAAGCGCUUGCAGCCAGACUUGCCUGUAGUUGCUUAUCCGGACUUUUGUCCGGUGCACUCUUCUGCGGGCAGGCCAGCAUCAGUUUGGGCGGUUGGAUAAAGGUCUCUGUCAUGUACCUCCUUUCGGGGAGGCCUUAUAGGGGAGACGACAUGCAACCAGCCUGGACUGAGGUCCGCGCAUCUGCUAGGAUGCUGGCGUAAUGGCUGUAAGCGGCCCGUCUUGAAACACGGACCAAGGAGUCUAACAUCUAUGCGAGUGUUUGGGUGUCAAGCCCAGACGCGUAAUGAAAGUGAACGGAGGUGGGAACCCUUUGGGUGCACCAUCGACCGAUCCUGAUGUCUUCGGAUGGAUUUGAGUAAGAGCAUGGCUGUUGGGACCCGAAAGAUGGUGAACUAUGCUUGAAUAGGGUGAAGCCAGAGGAAACUCUGGUGGAGGCUCGCAGCGGUUCUGACGUGCAAAUCGAUCGUCAAAUUUGGGCAUAGGGGCGAAAGACUAAUCGAACUAUCUAGUAGCUGGUUCCUGCCGAAGUUUCCCUCAGGAUAGCAGUAACGUAUUCAGUUUUAUGAGGUAAAGCGAAUGAUUAGAGGCAUGGGGGUUGAAACAACCUUCACCUA
rnacentral:rRNA from 1 species